rnacentral:rRNA from 1 species
CCGGCGCACGGGUGAGUAACACGUAUGGAACCUGCCCGCAGCAGGGGGAUAAGCGGAAGAAAUUCCGUCUAAUACCGCGUAACACCGCAGAGGGGCAUCCUCGGCGGUUAAAGAUUCAUCGGCUGCGGAUGGCCAUGCGGCGCAUUAGCUAGUCGGCGGGGUAACGGCCCACCGAGGCGACGAUGCGUAGGGGUUCUGAGAGGAAGGUCCCCCACACUGGUACUGAGACACGGACCAGACUCCUACGGGAGGCAGCAG